AUGUUGAACCUAUCACCAAACCAACUAUCUGGACCCAUACCAAUACAAAUACAAAAGCUAUGCAACUCAGGAUACCUUGAUAUAUCUGGGAAUAGACUGGGUGGAUUAAUACCGGAGGAACUAGGGGGUUGCACGAAAUUGCAAUCCUUGAAGAUUAACAACAACAACUUUAGUGGGAGUUUGCCUGGUGCGAUUGGAAAUUUAGAAGGCCUGCAAAUCAUGCUAGAUGCGAGCAACAAUAACCUCACCGGUGUGUUACCACGGCAACUCGGGAAGUUGGAGAUGCUAGAAUUUCUGAAUUUAUCACAUAAUCAUUUCAGUGGGAGCAUCCCAUCAUCCUUUGCAAGCAUGGUGAGCCUUUAA
rnacentral:rRNA from 1 species